AUGAGGGUAGCUGCCACAGGAGCCCUGUGACAGACAAAGCAGGAGCUUUACAGGCCGUAAGAUGGCUGAACAGUGGUCCAUUCCACUAUGCUGGGAUGGGUCCAAGGACGCUCUACAGCCAAAGAUGUAGAGCGGCUGCAAAGGCCGCUGUGGAUGUCUGGAAUUGUGGUGGGUAGGACUAUUAAAAACAAAGUCACCAGGUGCCAACCACCAGCAUGGAGAGCUGAACCAGAGCACACUUUACUUGUUCAGUGUUCAGCACAUGAGACUCAGCAGAAAGGAAGUAAAGUCCAACAAGGAUGGGAAGGACGUCUCUAAUUUAAAUCAAAAGGACAGCCUGGAACCUGGGUGCACAAGACACUUCCAGGUUCAAAAGAAGAAAACACCAGCGAAAGUCACCUCCCAGUAUGCACUGCCAGAGACCAGUUCCUGCAGCUGCACGAGGCAGCUUCACCUUUCAGAACCUGCUUUCUCUGUUGCCAUAUUAAAAGCUUUAUUGAGGCUCAGCC